rnacentral:rRNA from 1 species
GACGAACGCUGGCGGCGUGCUUAACACAUGCAAGUCGAACGGAAAGGCCCUGCUUUUGUGGGGUGCUCGAGUGGCGAACGGGUGAGUAACACGUGAGUAACCUGCCCUUGACUUUGGGAUAACUUCAGGAAACUGGGGCUAAUACCGGAUAGGAGCUCCUGCUGCAUGGUGGGGGUUGGAAAGUUUCGGCGGUUGGGGAUGGACUCGCGGCUUAUCAGCUUGUUGGUGGGGUAGUGGCUUACCAAGGCUUUGACGGGUAGCCGGCCUGAGAGGGUGACCGGCCACAUUGGGACGGAGCGACGGAGCAGACUCCUGCGGGCGGCAGCAGUGAGGAAUAUUGCACAAGGGGCGGAAGGCUGAUGCAACGCCGCGUGCGGGAUGACGGCCUUCGGGUUGUAAACCGCUUUCGCCUGUGACGAAGCGUGAGUGACGGUAAUGGGUAAAGAAGCACCGGCUAACUACGUG